rnacentral:lncRNA from 1 species
UAAGUCGUAACCACAGUAUACCAGUAGAAAAGGUUUUUGUUUUUGUAGCUGUUUCGUGGUGAAAGUCCUUUAUGGGGGCCAAAUUUCCGUACAAGAAAUUGAGCGCAUGGUUGCUUUUGCAUUCCAAAAGAACGAAUAUUAGAAAACAUUGAAAAAAAGUCUGAUAUAAUACAAUUAUAUUCUACUAGAAAUAAACUCGAUAGUGUGCGCUAAUUAGAUAAUGUGAUAAUCAUGUUUAAAAACUCUUUUCAAGUCUUAUUUUUCAGAAAAUAAAAUUGUGGAUCAGAUUGCUCUGAGCGCUUGUGUUGUUUACCAAGAAAAUGCACCCCUGUUGGUUUUUAUUUCUGUAUCGCAUCGCGACUAUUAGUUACAAGCACAGCAUCAUCAACGGUGAUUGCAAGAACUACUGCAAUCCCUGCGGUUUUUCCUCUUGGUGAAUGCGUUCUGGUCGUGACCAAGGGUGGUCUCCCAAUCGGCCGGGAAUAAGGCUAUUGUUGCAGAACAAAACGCCACAAACACUGGUGUGGUAAAUAAGUUCCAGCAGUACUGCCCACCGCCGUCGUUGUAAUGAUUUCGAUAGCUGAACAAACGCCAUCUCCUGGGCAUUCCCACAUGCCGACAAUAGCUGUUAUAUCACGUGUGAAUGCAACUGCGGCUAAAUUUGGUUAUUAACAGUGCAAUAGCGCCAUGUCAUUGGCAAAAACACUAAGGGCUGCUGGCAUAUAGAGGUUGUAAAGUUUUUGGAAUCGAUGAACUUACUCGAAGAAGACGAUGGUCGAAAACAUAUGAUGAAACGUCUUCUGGCAUGCCUUUGACAAUCGUUAAGUCAGACGGAGGCUUCACAUGCGAUAUUUCACACAUGCCUGGAAUUCGUUAGCGGACAGAGCACACAUUUACAAAAUAUUUAUCGUUCUGCAGAACGUGCAUGCAUAUAUGCAUAUUCGAUUCCGACUGAAACCUGGUAACUGAGUUGCUAUAUUGGCACGAACUAAGCAAGGCUGUCAUAGGAUCCAUCGUAGUCCGAUUUUUCGUGAAAUCUACGAAAAUGCUAUUAAAUUCGAGUAGCUACAAACGCAGUGGUUGCUUUGAAUAAACACGUUCAUAGCAGUUCAGAUUCAGUGAUCGCUUUUUUGUAGAUUUUAUGAAAGAUCGGACUACGAUGGAUUCCGCCACCAAUAUGUUUUCUCCUUUGACAAGAUGUUGGAGAAUCGCGGCAGCACAGCCCUAUACCUACUCUAUGCUCUUACGCGCAUAUGCUAAAUUUCUCGCACCUAGCAUAAGUGCUUGACAAAGGCAGAAGGCAUAUCUUCAACAUUAUAACUUAAAGUAAGAGUUUAAGGUAUGCAAUAAAAGAAUACAACAGAACCAAAAAAUCUCAAAACUAUUAAA